UGGGAACUUAGGGGACUUGGAUACCACU
rnacentral:piRNA from 1 species